rnacentral:misc_RNA from 1 species
GAUGAAGAACGUAGCGAAAUGCGAUACUUGGUGUGAAUUGCAGAAUCCCGUGAACCAUCGAGUCUUUGAACGCAAGUUGCGCCCGAAGCCAUCAGGUUGAGGGCACGUCUGCCUGGGCGUCACAUAUCGUUGCCCAAUGCCUAUUGCAGUGCAAUAGGAAUUUCUAGGGCGAAUGAUGGCUUCCCGUGAGCGUUGUUGCCUCGCGGUUGGUUGAAAAUCGAGUCCUUGGUAGGGUGUGCCAUGGUAGAUGGUGGUCGAGUUAGAACGAUACCGAUCAUGUGCAUGCUCCCCAAAAUAUGGCCUCUAUGACCCACACGCGUCUUUUGACGCUCAUGACGAGACCUCAGGUCAGGCGGGGCUACCCGCUGAAUUUAAGCAUAUCAAUAAGCGUAGGA